GACGAACGCUGGCGGCGUGCUUAACACAUGCAAGUCGAACGGAAAGGCCCUGCUUUUGUGGGGUGCUCGAGUGGCGAACUGGUGAGUAACACGUGAGUAACCUGCCCUUGACUUUGGGAUAACCUCAGGAAACUGGGGCUAAUACCGGAUAGGAGCUCCUGCUGCAUGGUGGGGGCUGGAUAGUUUCGGCGGUUGGGGAUGGACUCGCGGCUUAUCAGCUUGAUGGUUGGGUAGUGGCUGAGCAAGGCUUUGACGGGUAGCAGGCCUGAGAGGGUAACCGGCCACAUUGGGACUGAGAUACGGCACAGACUACUACGGGAGGCAGCGGUGGAGAAUAUUGCACAAUGGGCGGGAGCCUGGUGCAGCAACGCAGCGUGCGGGAUGACAGCCUUCGGGUUGUAAACCGCUGUCGCCUGUGACGAAGCGUGAGUGACGGUAAUGGGUAAAGAAGCACCGGCUAACUACGUG
rnacentral:rRNA from 1 species